UACGAAGGGUGCAAACGUUGCUCGGAAUCAUUGGGCGUAAAGCGCACGUAGGCGGCUUCAAAAGUCGGAUGUGAAAUCCCUCGGCUCAACCGAGGACGUGCAUCCGAAACUGUGAGGCUUGAGUACUGAAGAGGAUCGCGGAAUUCCCGGUGUAGAGGUGAAAUUCGUAGAUAUCGGGAGGAACACCAGUGGCGAAGGCGGCGAUCUGGGCAGAUACUGACGCUGAGUGAGCGAAAGCCAGGGGAGCAAACGGG
rnacentral:rRNA from 1 species